ACAUCAUAGAAAUAUCCCGGAAUACAUCGUACUCAACGGAGAAACAGUAUUGCAGAGUGACUGGAUUUAUCUUUGCAAGAGAUAAAAAAUCUCAAUUGCAAAUAGAUGUAAUUAAUCUUGACACGUGGCAAACAUGGAAAUAUAUUACAUCAACUUAGAAUCUGAAAUACAUCAGUACUCAACAGAAAACAAUACUAAAAUAUGUGUACUGAUUUUAGCAGAUCUAAAACAGAAAUAAAUUACUGCUAGAAGUGCUGUUAGGAGAUUAAUUGGUAAUCUGCUAAAACAAAUGUGCAAAUGAGCAAAACGUGGCAUGCUAUGCUGGAUGCCUAAAUUCCCAGCGCAUGCAUAUGGCCACGUAAGGCAGCCCAGACCUGGUAGAUAAGGGAGAGCGACUAGAUGAAAUAAACAGGUCUAGCAAUUCCCGAGUCACUUCGAUCCCAAAUCCACAGCAGAGACCGGCGGAGGACCCCAGCGCCGGCUGGCCGGCCGCAUCACCGGCGGAGAGAAGAUCUCCCGCUGCGCUCGUCCUGGAGGAGGAGCCACCGCGGAGGUGGGUGCCGGGCGCAACGCCGCUGUAGGCGCCAUCCGCGAGCGCGAGCGCUGCUGCUGCGGGGCCGGAACGGCUGCUCGACGGCGGACUCUCCAGCGGGACCGCGAGGGCCCCGAGGCGGCGGCCCGCGCCUGUGCGCCGCAAAGCCGGAGGAGUGGUGGGUGUCUGGGACGGCGCGGCAGCUUCGGCAUCGACUGCCGCGGCGCAAGAGGAGCCGCUCACGCCGGAGCCAUAGAUGAAGACGGAGGCCCCGGUCGGCACGGACUCGAAGGCGAGCGCGUGACAGGCGGCGACCUCGACGACCGCAGAGGUCGGAGAUGGCAGCGGCGCGGCCUCGUGCUCGUCGUGUCGUCGUCAAGGACGACGAUGUCGUUCCCCGGCGCCGCGCUCAACCGUCGCGUGCUCCGCGUUGGGAGCCGCCACCGGCCCGGACUUCAGCAGGCCACUGAGCCAUGGUCGCGCGCAGAAGGGCGCCGCUGAGCCGCGUGCUAGAUGGAGCGCUCGCACUGCUUGCAGGCUGUAAGUCGUCCGUGCCGUGGAUGCGAACAGAGGCUGCUGCCUCCGGUCUUGGACAUGAGACCGCAUCAUCGACAACAUCAUUCACCGUUUGAGUACCUGUGAAGAAAUCCACAGGAAGAGGUGUCGAGAGAGUCGCCGCGCCGGGGCUGUGGUCGCCUCGGGCUGGUGCAGGAGGUCGAGGCUGCGGGGUCACUCGGCGGCUGAAGACAUGCGCCGCCGCGCCGCUCUGCAGGGUGAGGCCUGCUCGCAUCAUACGGCGGAGGGCUUGUCCUGCCGCCAGUUGCCGAGGACGACGCUCCGUCGGAGAGCGUGCUGAUAACGUGUGAAGGAUCGAUUGUAAACGAACAAAAGAGUCGAACAAAUGAAUCGAUAAGAUACUUUUCCAUUGCCCCCUCAAAAAAAUAAUAUUUUUCCAUUGAUGAUUGAACA